UUCCUCUGAAUUUCCUGGCGGCAUUGCUGCGGGUGAGACCCUUCCCUUUCACCCUUUGAAUCGUCAAUCUCAAUGGUGGUGAUGGUGGUUCUGUGAGCGAAAGAGGCAUCGGCAAUGAUGAACAACAGAACACUAAAGAGAGCAAUUGUGGAUACGAGCUUUGCCAUUGUUACUGAAUAUGAAAGAGCUGAUUUUAUAGAAUAUAUCGGACGAUAGAAUGGGUUUUUAUAGGACAAUUCAGGGGAAUGCAUGUCGGAAACGUGUAGAUUUAUGGAAUCGCCAGUCAUUUCUAACAUUUUUAUGGGGUGGCUACAUCUGUUUCUGUGGUAUGCAUCAUUCUUACUCGUAGGACUGCAGUAUGUAGUAAUUCUUAUGGAUUUUGUGUUUGAUGUUAGCUAGAGUAUCUGUACGUGGUUGCAUUUAGUGACUCUUAUUACUUAAAAUAAACUAUUCAAAAUAUUUGUUACACAUCUACCUAUAGUUAUUACAUUAUCGUUAUAUGUUUGCUUUAAUUGAGUGAGCAAAAAGACAUAUUAGCACAUUGUACCUAACAAUCAAAUACAUGCAUAUUUGAUUUAAGUCACAAUUACAGUAUAUAUUUAAAGAAAACAAAAGUAUGCUCUUAAUACCAGAAAGUAAAAUUAUUUUUGGUUCGACUUUAUCUAGUUAGAGAACUAAUACUAAUCUUAAAUUUACUGAUGAAUAAAAUUAAAAAUAAAUAGAAGUGAUUAAAUGAUGAAUGAGUCAAUUGAGCCAAAGAGUUUUUUUGUUGUUAUUAUACCAAAUUAAGUUAGAAUAAAGAAACAAGAAAAAUACAAAAGUCUUUUUCAUUAGUCUAAUUAUUUAUGUACAAUGAAUAAGAAAUGUUACCAAUUCUCCUUUAUUAUAGUUAUAUCUAUUAUAAGAUAUUCUUAAGAUACCAAAAUGAUAUUUUUAAUAUACUUUCUUUUCUAUGUUUAUUAAUACUGUGUCAUAUUAAAGUAAAUUUAUAUUUAAUUUUUGUAAUAAAAUAUCUAAAAGAUACUUUCAGUAUACCUAAAAAAUACCAUAUAGUAUAAACAGUAUAUAGGUGAUUUAAAAAAAUAAAAAAUAUCAACAACAGUACACUAAUAAGAUAUUGUUUAAUAUACUUUUAGGUGUAUAUUUAUGAAUGCUUUAAUUAAAGUUAUAUCAUUACUCAGUUGUAUAAAAAGAUGCUAAGAAUAUAUUAAAUAUUUAUUGGAUUAUAAUAUUUAUUUAAAGAUAACAAAAGUAUGCUUGUAAUAUACCAAAAAGUUAAAAUAUUUUUGGUCUGACUUUGUUUAGUUACAAAACUAAGUCUAGUCUUAAAUUUACUGAUGAUGAAAAUUAGAAAAUAAAUAGAAGUGAUUAAAUGAAGAAUGAAUCAAUUGAGCCAAAGAGGUCUUUUUGUUAUUAUACCAAGUUAAGUUAAUGGAAUAAAGAAAUAUGAAAAAAGAAGAAGUUCUUAGCUUUUUCAUUAAUUUGAUCAUUUAUGUACGAUGAAUAAAGAAUUCUAGCGGUUCUCAUUUAUUAUAGUUAUAUCUAUUACAAAGUACUCUUAAGAUACCAAAUCGAUAUGUUUAAUAAAUCUUUUUUCUCUGUUUAUCAAUACGGUAUCAUAUUAAAGUAAAUUUAUUUUUCUGAUUAUUUUGUAAUAAGAUAUCAAUAUGGUGCUAUACCGGCUUUUUCAUUAUCUUUUGGAUAUCUUACUUUUUCAUUAUCAAUACUUGAUCUAAAAUUUGAGUUAGUAUGGUAUUACUUGUAGUUAAAUGCAAGAGUAUUUGUUUUAAAUGAACUUAAGAAAAAUAUGUAGUUAGUAUGGUAUUACUUGUAGUUAAAUGCAAGAGAAUGACCUUAAAAAAAUAUGUAGUGUAUAAGAUAUUAAAGCUAGCUAAGAAGAACGAGUAAAAAUGCUCCAUCAGAUUAUUAGGCCGGUUCAUAAAAGUGGGCAUUCAGAUUAAUUUUCCAUAAAGUGAUUUAGAAUUUGAGUUAGUAUGGUAUUACUUGUAGUUAAAUGCAAGAGUAUUUAUUUUAAAUGAACUUAAAAAAAAUAUAUAGAAUAUAAGACAUUAAAUCUAGCUAAGAAGAACGAGUAAAAAUGCUCCAUCAGAUCAUUAGUUCAUUCUUAAGAGGUGAUUUUUCAUUAAAUAUAAUUAUUAGAAAUGGUUCUUUCUUUAUCAUAAAGAGAGCAUGAAUAUGCAUUUCUUUUCAUAUGGAUCAACUCCAGCUUGAUGUAUUGAAUCUUAACCAAUAUCAACAAUAAGACUUAUGCAUCUUGACAAGCAUGAACAUAACUUUAGGAGUGAGCAUCAUAUAGACUUCAAAAAUGAUUAUAUUAAUACGAUUUGAAAUAUAUUAAUGAAACCCAAAUGAAUAAAAGAAAAUAAAAAUGUGAGUGUUGCAUUUUAAAUUUCUUAUGGUGACAUUCUAUCGCCCUUGCAAUUUUUUCUCUCUGUAAUUUUCUUUCUAUAUGCAAAUUUAGUAACAUUAUGAUUAAUUAAUUGCUAAAUUAUGAAUAAUAAUUACCUAGGUUAAAUAAACCUCUCAGGUGGUGCAAUGAAUUUAAUAUGAGCUUUUAUAUGAUAUAUUGCAUUGUAAUGAGUUACAUAUAUAUAUAUAAAUCAAAGGUUGUAAUGGGGAUUAUAUGUUUUGAGUUUCAAUUGUAGAAAUUAGACUUAUUUCAUGGGAGAAUUAGUUCGAUUUAUAGAAGAGAUGUUGCUAAAUCUUUCGUAGAAUUAAUUAGAAUAAGAAAAUAAUUAAUAGGAUUAUAUAAAAUUAAUUAGAAUUGGAUAUUAGAUAUUAGAAAUUAAAAAUUAUUUAAAGAUUAUCAGAAGAUAGGAUAUAAAUUUAUUUCUAAAAUUUUAUUUUUAUAUAUGAUUUAUAGGAUUAAGUAUUCGAAAGUUAUUUGGAGAGAAAGGUUAUCAGAAAAUUUNNNUAAUCCGGCGUGUUAUCUAAAACGUGUCAUUUAAAACAUGAAAAAAUCUCAAUCCAUAAUUUAUAUCCUAUAAAUUAUAAUAUAAAUUAUAAUUUAUAGGAUUCAUUAUUGAUAGGACUGAUAUAAAGUCUACAUAUGAAAAUAAUAUGUUACAAUUUAUUAUAUUGAGGUGUUUUGAGGUGUUUUGUUUCAUCAAUCUAAUGUUAUCAUAUUCAACACAAUUCAAUAAAUUAUAAAAAUAACUAAAUGUAUAGAUCAUUUUAUAAAAUAUAAAUGUAUAGAUCUGAUUGUAAUGUAUAUAAUGUAUAGAUAUGAUAUAUUUGUUGUAAUGUAUAAAUAUAUAGAUAUAAUAUAUUCAUUAUAAUGUAUAGAUAUGAUGUAGUGUAUAAAUGCAUAGGUCUGAUUAUAAUGUACAUAUAACAUAUCAUAACACAGAUACGAUGUAAAAACAAAAAUUCAUCAAACAAAAUAUUCCCGGUUUCUUUACAGUUUAAUUAAUAAAUUUCUCAAUCGGAGUAGAAUGUUCUCUAAGAUAGAGUGUCCUCAAUUUUUUUUUCCAGUUCAUCUCUGCGAAAAUUUUGAAAUAUAAUUAAUUUAUUUUUUUAAUAUCUAAUCUACACAACCGAGCUAAAACAUCAACAGGAUGUUGAUGACGUUAUUAAUUAACAACAUAACAUAGUCAUCAUAAAUGACUACUCAUGGUAAUCAUCAUCAUCAUCAAAUCUCACGGCAACGGUUGUCAACAGCUAAUGAUCACUGAUCAUGAUCUUUAUUUACUACAUGUACUUAUACAUGACAAUUUUACUGGCAUUCUCUUGGUUCCACACCGCACUGUAAUGGCAAAUAUCGAGCUGUCUUGAAAGCAUCAAACAAAUACUCUUCUUCAACUUGUCCCUGGAGAUAUUUCUCCUCAACAGCGUAGUACAGAGCCUCGCAUCUGCACUGUGUAGUUUCAGGAUACAUCUGCUUGAUCUGGUCACAGCACCGACGAAGAGACUGCUGUUGAUUACUGUCACUUCGUCUUGAUCUCUGUACACCAUAUUGUUGUGUGAUAUAUUCCUGGCAUUGCCUGAGUUUCUGCUGUCCAAUAAUAUGCUGACGACAGCCUUCCUGGUUUGGGUUUUUUUGUAUUUGGCGCAAGCAACGCAGACCGCAAGAAGAUACAAUGUCACUUGCUCUCUGCCCCACUCUCUCAGACUCUUCUCCUUGUAAGUGUCCCUGCUGAAUCUGAUAUUCGGCGAUAGAUUUGAUUGCUUCACAUUGGCAAUCAUGCCUCAGUUGCUCCACUUGAUUGCAGCACUGCUGGAGCUGCUGGGUCUCCUGCUGCUGGUCUUCAGCUCUAGGCAUCCUUAACAAUUCUUCCCCCGGUGAUCUUCUUGAACUUGAUUGUCUUAUAUAUUGCUCGCAGGAGCUCAAGUCCUUCCUCUGAAAUUCCUGGUGGCAUUGCUGUGACCGCGAUCCUUCCCCUCCAGCCUUUGUAUCGUCGAUCUCAAUGGUGGUUCCGUAAGCAAAAGAGGCGUUGGCAAUGAUGACCAAGAGAACGCUGAUGAGAGUUACUGUAGGUAUGAGCUUGGCCAUGGUUAUAGAACUUAUAAAUAAUAGCACCUAGAGAGUAUAUACUUGUUUGGAAAUGGAUGAAAAAGGUAAUCGGUAUUUGUACGAGGUUUCGGGGAAUGCAUGCAUAGAACGUGGAAGAUAUCACUUGAGGUGGCUCCAUUUGUUUUUGUGGUAUGGCUUAUGCUUACACGUAGGGCAGCUACAUGCAAAUUCUUUUGGUUUGGAAAUUUUUUUCGUUAAUAUGGACCUAUAUUUUUAUAUACGUCAAAUUAAUAAGUUAAAUUAUAUAAAAAUUAUUAAUUUUAGAUAAUAAAUUAUAUAAUAUUAUUUAAUAUUAAAAUAUUAUAUAUAUAUAUAUAUAUAUAUAUAUAUAUAUUUAUUUAUUUAUUUUCCAUUUGUCACAAUAUGUAUAUUUAAAUUUUACGUGUGAUAAUAAAUUUUGUAAAUGUAAAGUCUAAAUUAGAUAAUAAAAUAUAGAAAAAGGUAUAAAGAUUAAUUUUAUGAUUUAAUUUUUUGAUAUAUGUUUUUUUAAUUUUUUAAUGACACUUUAGUAUCCUAAGAAUUAGAUUAUUAGCAAUAUAUCUAAAUUAAUUAACAUUAUUAAUAAUUUUUGUUAGAAAUUAAACUCAAAUUAAUUAAUCUNNNNNNNNNNNNNNNNNNNNNNNNNNNNNNNNNNNNNNNNNNNNNNNNNNNNNNNNNNNNNNNNNNNNNNNNNNNNNNNNNNNNNNNNNNNNNAAGAAAAUAAUGAAUGGAGGAAUGAUUCUUUUCAAUGUUCAAAACUCAAUAAAAAAAUUAUAAUAAUUGGUGUACUCGUAUGAAAAUUGUGCUAGAAUCACAAGAUGCAUGGGAUGUUGAGAAAUGAUUCGAACAGCUUGAGAAUGACGAAGGCUUGAAUCAAGCUCACAGAGAUGCUUUACAUAGAUCUUGGAAAAGAAAUGAGUUGGCAAUGACAUUGAUGCAUUUGUGCUUAGAUGAAAGCAUGUUUGAAAAAGUCUCGGGUAUAGCAAGUGUCGAGCAAGCAUAAGAGUGUUGCAGAAUUCUUUUAAAGGAGUUAGUAAGGUGAUAAAAGUUCACUUACAAACCUUAAGAGCAGAGUUUGAAUCACUCAAGAUGAAAAGUUUUGAAUCAAUUUCAAACUACUUCACCCGAGUAUUGGUUAUUGUCAAUCAAAUGAGAAAAUAUAGUGAAAGCUAAAUGAUGUUCGAGUAGUUGAAAAGAUUUUGAGGUCUCUAGACUCAAAAUUUAAUUAUGUUGUUGCCAUCGAAGAGUCAAAUGAUCUAGGCUCCAUGAUUGUUGAUGAGUUGAUGGGAUUAUUGCAAGCUUGUGAAGAAAGGAUGACUGGAAAGCAACCACAAGCUCAAGUUCUUCUCUCAAUGUUAUCUCUAAAAGAGAAAGAUCGUGGUUGCGGUAUUAGAUAUGGUAAUUUUAGAGGAAGAGAAAGAGGGAUAUCUGAUAAGAACUUUAACAAUGAUGAGAGUUCAAAUUAGAAACAAGCAUUAAGAGGAUGUGGUAGAGGUGAUUGGUCCAAAAGAAGAGAUUCAAAAGCUGAUGUGCAAUGUUACAAUCGUGGAAAAUAUGGACAUUACGCCUCAGAAUGUAAGGCUAAUGUGCAUUAUUAUAAUUGUGAAAAAUAUAGUCAUUAUGCAUCUGAAAGCAUAAAUUCAGGUGUCAAAGAAGAAAAGGCUUAUUGUGCUAAAGGUGAAGAUAAUAAAGGAAAUAGUUUGUUACUAUCAUGUGAUGGAGUGAAGAAAAAGAUCAAGUAGCAUGGUAUUUAGAUACAGGUGCGAGCAAUCAUAUGACUAGCAAAAAAAAUUCUUUGUGUCUCUUGAUGAAACUUUUAAUGGAAAUAUUUCCUUUGUAGAUGAUAGAAAGGCUAUGAUUGAAGGAAGAUGAGAUAUUCUCAUUCAAGCUAAGGAUGGAUCGCAUAAGUUCAUUAUUAAUUCUGAGUAGCGUUAUCAAGAUUCGAAGCGAAAAAAUGGUGUUAGCAUAUUGAGUUUAGGUCAACUUUUGGAGUAAAGAUAUGAGAUCAUGCUAAAAAAUGGUGCUUUGAUGAUAAAAAAAUUCUAAAGGCAAUCUGAUUGCUAUAGUGAAAAUGUCUAAUAACAGAAUGUUUACUCUCAAAAUUCAAACUGGUUGUGUUAAAUGUUUGAAAGCAUGUUCAUCGAAUCCUUCUUGGUGUUAGCAUCAAAAGAUGGGUCAUUUAAAUUUUGAUAGUUGUUAGUGAAAGAAAGAAUGGUGUAUGGCAUACUUUUCAUUGAUCAAUUGCAAUAGUUGUGUGAAGGAUGUCUAUAUGGCAAACAAUUUAGAAAUAGCUUCUCACAGGAAUCAAGCCUCAAAACCUUUUGCAUUGGUAUAUGCUGAUAUCUAUGGCCCUAUAAAUCUACGUUCUUUUGGUAAAAAUAAAUAUUUCUUGUUAUUCAUUGAUGACUAUAGUCGAAAGACUUUGGUGUAUUUUCUGAAACAAAAGUCAGAAGGCCUUGAUAUGUUCAAAAAAUUUAAAGAGAUGGUAGAGAAGGAAAGUGGAUAUUCAAUUAAGGCUUCGAGAAUUGAUUGUGAUUGUGAGUUCACUUCAAAGCAAUUCAAUGAUUAUUGUGAGUCUCAUGGUAUUUGAAGAUUCUUAAUAGUUUCAAGAUCACCUUAAUAGAAUGGUGUGAUGGAGAGAAAGAAUAGAACCAUUCUCAACAUGAUAAGAAAUAUGUUGAAGAGUAAACAUAUGCCUAAAUAAUUUUAGGUUGGAGCUGUAGCUUGUUCAGUUUAUCUAUCCAAUAGGUGUCCUACAAGAAGUUUGCAAAAGUCUACACCAUAGGAGAAAUGGAGUGGAAAGAAGCCAAUUCUUUUCAUUUAAGAGUUUUUAGUUGUAUAGCUUAUAUACAUAUUCCAGAUGAAACACGAAUUAAAUUGGAUGAUAAAAGUAAGAAGCUUGUGUUUGUUAGGUAUGAUGCAAAGUACAAAGGCUACAAACUAUAUAAUCCAAAAAGCAAGAAGCCUGUUAUUAGUUGAGAUAUCAAGUUUAGUGAAGAUAAUUCUUGAAAUUGGAAAAAUUAAGAUGAAGACUACAAUUUCUUUCCUUUACUUGAUGAUGAGUCUAGCAAAAUAAGAGGUAUUGAGCAUCCUCCUUCACCUCCCAAAAUUUUCAACAAUUAUUCGUGAUGAUCAUAUGAUACUCUGAAAGACCUCCUAAGAUGAGGAGUCUUGAUGAUAUUUAUCAAACACUGAUGAGAUCAAUGAUAAUGCUCUUUAUUGUCUUUUUGCAAGAUUGGAGCUUAUAGAUUUUGAAGAAGCAAUGCAAAAUGAAAAGUGGAGUUUUUCCAUGAAUGAAGAAAUGGAAGCAAUUCAGAAGAAUGAUACAUGUGAAUUGUCAAACCUUCCGCAAGGAAAGUAAGCAUUUUGAGUAAAAUGGAUUUACAAAAUUAAAAAGAAUGUAGAUGGAGAGGUGAAGAAAUUCAAAGCUCGACUUGUUGCAAAAGGAUUCAGCCAACAACAUGGAAUUGACUAUGAUGAAGUUUUUGUACCAAUUGCUCGUUUAGAGACAAUUCGAUUGAUCAUUUCAUUGGCUGCUCAAAAGAAAUGGAAAAUUUUUCAAAUAGAUGUGAAAUCAGCCUUUUUGAAUGCAUAUUUGUAGAGAAACCAAUGGAUUAUGUUGUUAAAAGGCAAGAAAAUAAAGUCUUGAAGUUGAAGAAGGCUUUGUAUGGCUUGAAGCAAGAACCAAAGGCAUGGUACAACCGGAUUGAUGAUUACUUUAAAAAGAAAGAUUUCAUAAAGUGUCCUCACAAAUAUAGCCUUUAUUUCAAGAAAGAAAAUGGUAAUAUGCUGAUUGUUUGCUUGUAUUUUAAUGAUCUAAUAUUUACAGGAAAUAAUUUAGCAAUGUCUGAAGAAUUUAAGAAGGAGAUUGCUGAAGAGUUUAUGAUGAAAAUAUUGGCCUCAUAUCCUAUUAUCUUGGAGUUAAAUUGAAGUAAUCUCAUGACAGUAUUUUUGUUUCUAAAAAAGACUAUGCAAAGAAAGGCUUGAAAGAAUUCAACAUGGAGAAUUGUCAAUCUAUCAUUACACUUGCAGAGUGUGUUAUCAAGAUUUGAUAAUGGUGAGAAGGUGAGUACUAUUCUGUAUCGAAAGGAUUUUAGCGAAUCAAUACCACUAAAAUUCACAUUAAAAAUUCAUAAGUAAUUAUCUAGAAAGGAUUUUAGCAAACUAAUAUCACUAAAAGUCUGAAAAUAAUGCGACGAAGAUUUUGUUCCUCGGUAUGCAAAUCAAGGCACCGCCACCCAUGGUGGUUGGAAAAUUCAACGUGGCCGAAAAUUGCAAUCAGAGACCACCUAAUCGAGUCUGGAUAUGCAAUUAUUUUCACCUAACUCUUUAACAUUUUUUCAAAAAACGCCAAAGAAGUUGCUUCCCUGGCGAAGCUUUUUCUCCUAUUUCCAGUGAUGGCAACUCCAAUGAGGGCUUGUGUAACACCCAUAAAUUUUUUUCAGUAUUUUAAUUAGUUUAAUUUUGUUUUACAUAUGAUUAAUUGAGACAUUAAUUUAUUCAUUCCUCUGCAUUUUAUAAUUAGCUCUAUGAUACAAAUAUACACUAUAUAAUAUAAUGAUUUUAUUACUAAAAAAAAUAAAAUAAAAUAAAUUUAAAAUACCAAAUUUUAUAAAUAUUUUUAUGAUUUUCACUAUACUUUAUUUGCAAAUAAUUAAAUAGACACUACUUUAAAAUCACGACAAUAAUAAAUAUACAAAUUAAAUAAUAUAUAUAUAUAUAUAUAUAUACACGUGUGUUAGUGUAUAUAUGUAUUUAUAGUACAUAAUAAAGCAAAUAAUAAUAAUAAUAAUACUAAUAAAUACAUAUUUUGUACCCAAAAAUAUCCAUUUCCCUUCUCCUUUCUCAUUUAUUUUCUUUUCUUCCCGCUUGCACCCACCUCACCUCACGUCUCCCUCUCUGUUCAAGUUGUCCCUCCCCUUCCUCAUAAUUUUCCAGCCGCCUGAGCAGUAGUCCAGUCGUCCUCCACCGCCCUUGGCCAACGGCAGCUCCUUUUCUUUCCAUUUCUUGCCGGAAAAAUUGAAGAAAAAGGGAAUAUAGGCUGCCAUUUCUUCUGGGGGCCGUUGUAGGUGUUGUGGCUGUAUAGGGCUGCUACCAUUAGCUUUCUCAAGCUCCAAGCAGCCCAUUUUGGACCUCAUUUGCAGUUUCCAUCGUCGGAAAAGGGAGGAGGAGCUUCGCCGGAGCAGCAACUUCCUUGGUUUUUUUUUUUUUGAAAUAUUUGUGAAGAGUUAGGUGAAAAUAAUUAUACAUUCAGACUCCUCGCAUUGAGAUCUUCAAGUAGGUGGUCUCAGAUUGCAUUUUCGAUGACGUCGAACUUUUCAGCCACCGCAGGUGUCGAUGCCUCGAUUUGUGUGCCGAGGGGAAGAAUGUUUGUUACAUUAUUUAGAGAAUUUUGGUGUAUUCAUUCGUUAAAAUUCUUCACUAGUAAUUUGUUUUGGAUUUUUAAUGCGAAUUGUGGUAUUAAAAUCAGAAUAUUUAAUACGGUUGAACGAGUUGUUGAAUGAUUUUAGAACCGUUAUUAUUUAAAAGCUCAUAAACUAUUGUGUUAUAUCAUGUGGUGGAGAAUUGUUUGAAUAUUGAUAAAUUAAUUAUCGGAAUUAAGAAAUUAUGAUAAAUUAAAUAAAUUUGAAUAUUAUAAAAAUUAAUUGUGGAAGCCGGGUGUUUUAGGAGAAAUGAUGCCGGUAGAAUGUUUUAGAGAAAUCAUUGCAUUGCAUUCAUGUGUAAUUGUUUAUCCCAUUCCAAUCCAGUUGGUUCAAAUUUCUAUUCCUUUUUUUUAUUCUCUAUACAUGAUUGAUUCAUAUUCAUUAUUUCUUCUUCUUCUUCUUCUUCUUCUUCUUCUUCUUCUUCUUCUUCUUCUUCUUCUUCUUCUUCUUCUUCUUCUUCUUCUUCUUCUUCUUCUUCUUCUUCUUCUUCUUUAACUACCAUCCAAGCAACAAAAAAAUGGAAUUAAGGACCAACACAAGCGUGGCACAUCCAAUUCUCACAAAAUUAAAAUUAAUAAAAAAAUAAAACUAAUGUAAAAGUAGAAAGGGAAUUAAGGACCAACACAAGCGUGGCACAUCUCAUUUCUAUAGUGCAUGUCCUGAAUUUGCAUCACCAAAGAAAGCUCCAUCACCAAGCCUUGUUUUUAUUUCAAGAAACUCUUUAAGAGAACAGACUUCGCUUUCUCCACCAUCGUUAUAGCUAUAAUGAGCUUCUUUUGUUAUUCUUGUUCGCAUUUGUGUUAUACGGAUUUAUGGUGGUAGAUGGCGGUGGAACAACCAAAACAGCACCGCGAACUUCAUCGGCCGAUUUCUUUCUCUUACGGUAAUGACAGCAGAUGAAAUUGCUACAAUGUACUUGUCUAUUCAUGAGCAAUCUUCUUAUGGCAGCGUUGUUGAUUGUCUUGGCUGGAAAUAGAGAAUGGCAGAGGAGAGAUAAAUUCAUGACAGUUUUGUUUUUUGUCGAUUCCAAUAAACUCCGAUGAGGUGUGAACGAUCAAAACACAUGAAUAAAUUCCAGUCUCUGUAAGCUUUGGUAUUAGAUGACUUUUAUAUCAAUUGGUUAUCUUGAUCUAAUUUGUAAAUGCACUUUAACUUGAAGAUAUAAACUAUAAUAUCCCAUUGAUCUAGAACUUAAUGGUUUUUAUCAUUAAAUAGAAGAAAGAAAACAUACAUUGAUUCAUAUUCUUAUCUUAUUAAUAGAUACUCUAACAUUUUAGUUUUAUAUUUGCUAUAAUUCUUGAUACUAUGGGUAGAGAGAGGACCAAGUCUUAUUUAUAGACUAAUGGUGGUUUUCCAUCAAAGCAUCAAUGUUUACAACCCUUCAUGUCAUAAUAUUUAAUAAUAGUCAUACCUAUUCAAUUUACAACCUUUCAUUAACCAAUAGAAUUUAAUCAUUAAUAUUUUAUUAUAAUUAUAUAAAUCAUUAAUUUCUUACAUUCUCUCACUUGGCUCAUAUAAUUUAAUAAGAAUAUAAAGUGCACGAAGAUUAAUGUUAAAUUCUUUUUUUAUACAUUGGCUAUGACAUAGUAUCAUUAUUAAGUAGAAAUAUUAAUACGGGUCAUAGUGGUCGCAUGUCAUUUAUGGAUAUAGUUCCUUCCAUAUACCACAACACUAAUUCUCAACUUAACAUGAUCUUUAAUAAAGAUAACAUUAAUGGUCCAACAUUAGUGUCUUUAUUUCAAGAAUGUUCUUGUCAAUAUUACUCUAAAGCAAUUAUGUAUACCAAAUAGGAAACAGAAAAAUCAGAAACACAUAAUUGAGCUCAAAGUGUCAAUUAUAUAAACUUAAAAUAAACUUAAUCAAAUAUUAGUAAUGACGCCUAAUAAUGCUCAUUCUUAUAACAUGUUCAUUAAAUAUUUUGGGCGGUAAUCUUUUUGUUAAAGGAUCUGCAAUCAUAAGAUUUGUUCUAAUAUGUCCAAUUGACAUUUUUUGUUUCUGAACUUCUUCUUUAAUGGUAAAGUAUUUUAUCUCCAUAUGCUUAGCACCCUUAGAAUUCUUAUUAUUUUUAGAGAAGAAAACUGCUGCAGAAUUAUCAUAAUAGAUUUUCAGCGGCCUGCAAGUCCUGAAAUAAAAUUUCGCAGCCAUAAUCCAUGAACGGUAGCCUCAGAGCAAGCUACAAACUCAGCCUCUAUAGUGGAUGCAGCAAUGACAGACUGCUUCAUAUUCUUCCAUGAAAUUGCUCUUUCGGCUAAUAGGAGUAAGUAGCCAAAUGUUGAUUUUCUUAUAUCAACACAUCCAGCAAAAUCUGAAUCUGAAUAUCCAAUCACCUCAAGGUGCUUAGAUCUUCUAUAAGUGAGCAUAUGAUCCUUUGUUCCUUGCAAGUAUCUAAGAAUUUUCUUUGUAGCUUUCCAGUGAUCUAUCUAAUCCUGAAUUACUUUGAUAUUUGCCCAAUAUUCCGAACAACAAAAUUAAUGUCCGGUCUGGUGCAAGUUUGAGCAUACAUUAAACUCACAACAACAUAAGCAUAAGGAACGUUCUCUUUCUAUUCUCGUUCCAAUUCAUUUUUCAGACAUUGCAUAAGAUUAAAUUUAUCCCCUUUCUGAAUUGGAACUAUUCCUGCUGAAAAUCUGGAACAGCAAGGAUGGGUGCAUUGCAUAAUUUGGUUUUGACUUCUUCAAAGGAUUUUUGGGCCGCUUCACUGCAUUUGAACUCUCCUUUCUUUAUUAACUCUAUCAUCGGGGCUGUGAUUGUUGAGAAGUUCUUGAUGAAGAUUCUAUAGAAAGAAGCAAGGCCAUGAAAGCUCCUAACUUGAUGAACAUCCCUUGGAACUAACCAUGUGGAAAUGGCCUUCACUUUCUCCGGAUCAAUCUGUAUCCUUUCACUAGGAACAAUGUAUCCUAGGAAAGAAAUACUAUUACACAUGAAAGUACAUUUUUCCAUUUUUCCAUACAACUUAUGAGUUUUCAAUUUUUCAAAUAAAUCUCUCAAGUGCAACAUAUGCUCACUUUCAGAUUUGCUAUAUACUAAAAUAUCAUAUAAGUAUACAACAAUAAACUUAUUGAGACAAGGUCGAAGUACCUCAUUCAUAAGUAUCAUGAACGAACUAGGGGCAUUGCAAAGUCCAAAUGGCAUGACAAGCCACUCAUACAACCCUUGUUUCGUUUUGAAAGUUGUCUUCCAUUCAUCACCUUCUCGAACUCUCAUUUAAUGGUAGCCACUCCUCAAAUUAAUCUUGCUGAAAAUUUUAACACCACUCAAUUUAUCAAACAUAUCUUGGAGCUAGGCAUAGGAAAUUGAUAUUUGAUAGUUAUGUUAUUGAUUGCACGACUAUCAAUAUACAUUCUUCAUGUUCCUUCUUUCUUAGGCACCAAAAGAGCACGAACAACACAUGGACUAAGGCUCUCACACACAUAACCUUUCUCCAUUAGUUCUUCCACUUGCCUUUGCAACUCUUUAGCUUGCUCGGGAUUGCAUUUAUAGGCUGCUUUAUUAGGCAAUGAGGCUCCCAAAAUUAAGUCAAUUGCAUGCUCAAUCCUAUGAAAAGGUGGUAGCCCUUUUGGUAAAUCACAAGAAAAUAAAUCAGAAAAUUCUUCAAGCAAAUGACUCAAAGACAAAGAGAUAGUGGCAUAGGGAACAACAUUAGAAAUGAGUUUAACAAGAAGUACAAACCCUCCUCCCUCCAGUGCACACACUCUUUUUCAAAUUCUUUCCUCGAAAUUAGAAAAUUAGGCCUCCUUUCCACCAUAGGUUCAACCUUAGGAGGCAAAGAUAACAAUCUAAUCUUUUUUCCAUCCGUGGUAGUAACCGUAUAUACAUUAGAGACACCAUCAUGUACAACAUCUCUAUCAAAUUGCCAUGGUCUACUAAGCAAAAUAUGACAUGCACUCAUAGGCAAUACAUCACACUAACGUUCAUCAUGAUAAUUGCCAAUUGCAAAUGAAACUUGACUUUCAAACCAGUUUCAUUAUUCAACCAAUUCAAUUUGUAAGGCUUAGCAUGAUUUCGAAGGGGAAGCUUAAGCUUACUUACAAGUUCUAUGGAAGUCACAUUCGUGCAUGAUCCUCCAUCAACAAUCACAUCACAUGUCUUAGCAAGAACCUUGCACCUUAUAUGGAAAAGGUUCUCUCGUUGCUGCAUGUCUUUGAGAGGUUCAGAAUGUAAGACUCUCCCAACAACUCCACAAAGAGGGUUGUCAUUUUCCUCCGCAUCAUACUCCUCAACAUCUUCAUUAUUACUUUCAGAUUCAUAGCCAUAAGAAUCCUCCUCUGUUUGAGUUGUUUGCAACAGUCAUUCGCAUAAACAUUAAGCUUAUUCUGUUCGAUCUUUCCCAAGCUUUAUAUAAAACUUUUUCUUCAUUGCUAAUUUCAUCAGUAAUAGUAGCAGGUUUCUCAAUUUGAAGUGCCAAAUCAAGAUCCAGAACACCUAAGUGAAACUAAACUUGUUCGCACCAAUCAGAAAAAUUAAAACUAUUAAAUAAUGAAACAGAUGAAGCAUGUGAAUGAAGAGAAACAUGUACAAAUACUACAAAUAAAAAUAACAUAGAAUACUUAUACAUUUAAUGCUUUAAUUCAUAAUGUUUCUUCCAUAAAUUCAAAUAUAAAUAUAAAAUAUAUCAAAGUCCUCCUUUGGAUGAUACUAAGAUAUACUUAUGUAAAUAAUUAUAGGUAAUUAUAUAUGCAUAACUAAAUUUAUUUUCUCUAUCUUUGGAUAUGUAAAAGUAAAAUUAUUACAACAUACUAAUCACUACGAUUAUAUUUAUCAAUUAUAAAAUAAUUAAUCAACCUUUGAACUGAUCUCUAAAUAUCUUGUAAUGAUAAAUUUUAAUUUACCCAUAAAUAUACAAAAAUCGUAAUGUCAUUUAAACAUAAAAUUUCUAAGUAAUUGAAAAUUAUAAUCUAUAAUUUCAAAUUUAUUUACUUUAAAAAUUUGGUCACUUUGGUGACAAGCAAAUCGUUCUUAACAUAAAUUUCAAAGUUAUAAUAAUAUAUUUAAAUAAUAUAUCUACUUUCAUUAAAUAUUUAACUUAAUUUCAAUUAAGCAUUAAUUAUUGAUAUAUAUUUAUGUAGCAAGAAUUAAAGAUGAAUCUGGAUUAAAUUUCUUUUAUUAGGACGAAACUGUAAAUUUUUUCAAACUUAAUUGAAAGAAUAAUAAUUUUACAUGCAAUCUGAUAAAUUAACAAAAUUUAUGGACCACAAUGGACCUUUAACCAAAAACACCAGAAAGUUUAGUUUUUUUAUAUAACAAUCUACAGUCAUUUUCUAAGUUACAUAAACAUUAAUUUAGUCCCGAAAUGUCAAAAACUUAAUCAUAAACCAUACACAAUUAAUCUAAGACAGCGAGGCAACAAAUUUACACAAAGUCAUGAAACUAAUAUCAACAAAUCUUAAAUUUAAUCCAAACCAUGCAAAAUUAAUCAUUUUAAUUUAUAUACUAAAACAAUGAUUAAUUCUUGCAUGCAUCCACGACAACAAUAAAUCCAACAAACUUAUAGAAAAACACGAUUUCUUAAACUUUACUCUGAUAGCACAUGUAAACUAUAAUAUCCCAUCGAUCUAAAACUUCAUGUUUUUCACUAUUAAAUAGAAAGAAGAAAACAUACAUUGAUCCAUGUUUAAUAGAAUGUGAUUUUUCUCCCUUUUCCCCUUAUCUUAUUGAUGGAUACUCUAAUCUUUUAGUUUUGUAUUUUGUAUAAUUUUUGAUGAUAUGGGUAGAGAGAUGACCAACUCUUAUUUAUAGACUAUUGGUGGCUUUCCAUCAAAGUACCAAUUGUUACAACCCUUUAUGUCAUAACAUUUACCAACAGUCAUAACUAUUAAGUUCACAAUCUUUUAUUAACGGUAUAAUUUAAUCAUUAAUAUCUUAUUAUAAUUAUGUGAGUCAUUAAUUUCUUACAGAAGAAUCCUAGUUCUUCUAUUGAUCUUUUAAUAAACAUGGUUGAGUUUUCAUCAAUCUUUUAAUGAAGAAAGUUGAGUUUUGAUUUUUGAUCAAACUCACCGUUUUCAUCUGCUCCAUGUCAGCAAUUCAUUUUGCUGAUAUGGCUCUUUUUCUUGUUUUUAAGUAGUUUUGGUGCCACGUAUGCGUGUUAUAAUCGGAUUUCACUUUCGAUUGCCAAAAUUUCAUAAUAUAGAAAAAUAUAUAAAAAAAGUGAUUAAUGUGAUAAAUUUAAAAGAAUUUGAUAAUUUACAAAAAAAAAAAGGGUCAAACUAUAGAAAUUUUUAGGCAGUUAGACCUCUAAAAGUUAAUUAUUUUGUUGAAUUUUCAACUCCUUUGUUAGUCUUAAAAUUAAGAUUGACAUGUUGAAAUAAAACUCAAUGUUAUUAUUUCAUUGGAUGAGGCAUUUAAUGACGUGGUAAAUUAACCUCAUCGAUAGCUACAGAUAUUUGUGAUAUGAUUUAUGCUUACAUCGUAGAGCAGUUACAUGCAAAUUCUUUUUUCGCUUAAUACAGAUUUAUAUUUUCUUAUAUAUAUCAAAUUAAUUAAUAAAAUAUAUAUUUAUUAAUUUUAAAUAAUAAAUAUAUUUUAAUUAUUUAAUAUUAAAAUAAAAAAUAUUUAUAUUUUAUGUGGUAAUUUUGUAUUUAUCGCAAUAUAUAUACUUAAAAUUUAUGUUUGAUAAUGAAACUUUUAUGAAUGUAAAGUAUAGAUUGGCACUCUUCAAAGUGAAUAAUAAAAUAUAAAAGUAUAAGAUAAAAUAAAUUUAUGCUUGUUGAUACUUUAAAUAGAAAAAUAAAUAUUUUCAAGCAGAUAUGUUAAAGAUAUAAACUGUUUUUGAAGUUUUAUUUAAUAGUUUAAACUUGUGAAUAAAAAGAUUGUUUUUAUAGACAUAAGUUUUAAUUUGACUAAUAAGUUUAUCAUUAUUUUAUGUUGCAGUAAGAAUAUUUCUAAAUGUGCUUUUUAUUUAAAAAAUUUCCAUUAAUAUUAAUACUUUUAUUUUUCUUUUUAAAUUUUAUAAAAUGAGAAAUUAAGAUUAAAAAUAUCAAUUAAUAAGCUAUAUAACAUUUUGGAAUUUAUUAAUUAAAAUGAGAACAUAGAGUAAAAUUUUGACGAUCGAAUAUAGAUAAUUAAAUUAGUUCUUUAGUUCUUUUAUAUUAAAUAAAUAAAUAACCGUUCAACUUUUAUUUUAAAAUUAUUGCUUAGUGGGGUAUAUCUAUGCACCUAUAUAUCAACUUAUAUACUAAAUUUAUAUAAAUAUAUAAUUGAUACGUGAUUUUAUAGAUUAGAAUGUGAUCUAUUUUGAGGUACUAUUCAUUUCUUUAGUUCAUGAUUUUAAAGUUUUCUCUUAAAGAAAGGAAAGAAAUUAUAUUAAAUUUUAUAAGACUCAAAUUUUUUAAUUUUAAGUCAAUGCAAAUUAUAAUAUUAUCAAAUCAAUAAGGAAGAAUAACAUUUACUCCAAAAUUCUCAAUAACUGAAAGAUAUUAACACUCUUUGUCUUCAUCUUUACUCUUAAGUGUUUGCAAUUAUGAUUUUCCGAAAUCAAUCUUCCUUGCAUUAAAACUGCAUAUGAUCUGUUCGUUUAUAUUUAUUGUUUUCAAAAGAGAAAAUAUUUUGUUAGGUUUUCAAGCACUUUGUGUUAGAGCUUGUAGUUUGUAGGGUGACACAGUCUCCCUUAUAAAAGUUUAUGAGAGGCCCAUUUGAACCUAAGAAAGCAAAUGAGAGGUUGACAGAAGCCUAAUAACUUUUUUGGAUUAGUUGGAUAUGAGAUAUUUCAAACUAUAUAAGGUAUUUUAGUAUCAGAACCUUGUAAGGCUUGAUAUAUAGCUGUUAAUAGAGUCAAAUAGUGGAGACAAUCUUAAAGUGCAAUUUUUAGGGACUGAAUGUAGGUCUUAGUAUCAAACUAAGAUAAAUCUUUGUGUUAAUCUCUAUAAACUUACAAUUGCUAUAUACUUUAUUAGUCGUCUAUUACAUCUAUAUAUGAGAAUUUACUAUUCAGACGUCUAACUAUUUUCAAAAAGGUACAUGAGACAGCUUUCUCCAUGCAUCAUCUUACUUCUAUGAUCUAUAAGUGCUUACAAGUUACAUCAGUUGAGGUAUUAAUUAAAAUAUGUAGUUAUCUAACAAGAUGCUUUUUUAGCUUAGUUAGAUAUAUGUGCAACUUUAAACUCACAUUAGAACUUCUAUAGAAUUAUCUCUAAGCAUUUGAUAAACCAGUAAGGUAUCUAACUAGAAAAGCAUCUAUUUUGCACCUUCAAUAUAAAUAAUUUUUGAGGUAUACAGUACACAUAAUGAGUUUAUUUCACGUGUAUAUGAUAUUUUAAUUUUUAUCAAAUUUCUUUCAUUUAGAUUUUAAAAUCAUCAUUUAUAUUAUCUUAUAUAUCGAUAUGGACAAAAUACUUGUUAAUCUUAUUGGAAAGAAAAUAUGAAGUAUGUAAAUUUUGAUGUAACAAAUAUUCUCACACUGAAGGGCAACAAUUUUCCAAAUUUUCUGAAAAUAAUGUCAAAUUAAAUCAAAAUUAAAAAGAGCAAACAAGAAUGGAGAUUCAAUAUCAAGUUUAUUUCGAGUACACAAAGGAUAUCAUCAAAGUAUAUUAUAAGUACAUAACAGGCUUAUAAAUUUAACAGUAUAUAAUACAUUCCGAUUACAUUAUGAGUAUAUAAUAAGUAUAUAUUACCAUUUCUGAAUUUAUUAAAAUAUAUACAAUUGUUGUACAAGUACUAUAGAUUCUAAUAAAUGAGUUUAACCACUAAUAAUAGCUAUUAACUAAUUAUAAAAACUAAAUAUAAAUAUUAAUUCAUAAAAUCAUGUCAUGAAAUUGAAUCUAAAAACUAUUGCUAUUAAAUUUUUUUUGCAUCAAAGUUUAUGUAUCUUAUAUUUCCUUUUCAAUUUUUAUUGUCGUGAAAAUAGAUAUUUUAUCCAUACACAUAUAUAUAGAUAUAUAUCUUGUGUGUGUAUGUCUGCAUGUAAAUAUAUAUAACAUAUAUUUGAAAUAUACUUGUUAUAUACUUAAUAUAUAUUUUUCACUAUAUGCUUUAAAAGUUAUUCUAUAUUUUAAAAGAAAAAUAACUUUUCCAUAUAAUAUAUUACCACAAACUUACUAAAUUUUAAAAAUAUAUAUUUAUAAUAAUACCUAUAUAUAUUUGAUAUAUACUAUUUCUUAAGAUUUUUACAAAAUGGAUCUAAAUACUUAGUUUUUUGUAAAUUUAAGUUCUAAAAUACAAUACUCAUUUAAAAGUUAUAUGAUAUGAUAUUUUUGACGAAUUUUGAUAUAAUAAAAUUUGAACUAACAGAAAAUUAAUUAAAUAAAAGUUUAAAAUUGAAUUUAUCUUAUAAAAUUGAAAAAUUAAUGAAUUUACCUUCAAAAGUUUUUGAUAAAAUAUUGUUAAAUUAUUAAUGAGAUAGUUGUUAGAUUUGUUACAAAUUUUUUAGAAUUAAGAGUUUAGAUCGGAAUUUAUUUUGAAAAUAAAUUUAUAAUUUUUGUUGUUAGCGAUCAACUAAAGAAGACUGAUGCAACCAGAGAGAGAAAAAUGAUAGUUAAAAUUGUUCUGAAAGUAAUUCAAAGAAAGAAAAGAAAACAAAGAACAAAAGGACGCAAUAAAAGGUUUAAAAUAUUCAAGAAUAAUGUUCAGAGAGUAUAGAAAAAGAAAAUUAUUAGCCAAAAAAGAAUUCAAAAGGUGUAUUAAUUAGAUGAACUCCUCUUUUCUGUAGAGUUUAGUCCAGAAACUCAUACACAUUUGAGUUAUUAAUUAGAUGGACUCUGAAUACUUUGAUCUUUUUUAGGACCUUUGAAUAAUUGGAUAGGUGUAAUAUAAUGGCGCCUAUAGCGAUACUGACAGUGCCACAGUUAAACAAUUAACUUCUGCAUUUGCUCUUUUAAAUUAUUUAUUUUCCUUAACAAAGUUCGUGUCUGAGUCCUGAGUCCUAAAGUUUGAGCUCCAGUCCUACGUUAAUGGAGUUGGGUAGGCUCAUGACAUAUUAAUUAACAGAGGACCCACAUAAACUUAUUAUAGAUUUUGCAACAGUCAUGAUACAUGGCUACUACGUAAUCAUCAUUUUCUAAUCUCACAGCAACAGCUGCGAAGGGCUAGUGAUCACUGAUCAUGAUCUUUAUUAACUACUUCAUAUAUAUAUAAUCCUGCGACUUUAGAACCGGCAUUCGGUUGGUGAGACGCCGCACAUUGAUGGCAAAUUCGCAGCUGUCCUGAAAGCCUCAAAAACAUCCUGACCUUGAAGUUGCCCCUGGCUCUGUUGCUGCUCAAUAGCCUGCCUCAGACCCUCGCAUCUGCACUGUGACUGCAUCUGCUUGAGAUGGUCACAGCACCCACGAAGAGACCGUUCUUGAUUGUCACUUCUUCUUGGUCCCUGUCCGGAAACUUGUUGUUUGAUAUAUUCCUGGCAUUGCCUGAGAUUUUGUUGCUCUUGAAUCUGCCCACGACACCCCUGCUGGCUUGGGUUUGUUCGAGUUUGGCGCAUGCAACGCACACCGCAAGAAGAUACAAUUUCACCUGCUCUCUGCGCCACUCUUUCAGACUCUUCUCCAUGUAGCUGUCCCUGCUGAAUCUGAUCCUCUGCGAUAUAUUUGAUUGCUUCACAUUGGCAUUCAUCUCUUACUUGCUUUACCUGAUUGCAGCAUUGCUGGAGUUGCUGGCUCUCCUGCUGCUGGUUUUCAUCUCCAGGCAUCCUUAACACUUCUUCUCCUGGUGAUCUUCUUGAACUUGAUUGCCUCAGGUAUCGCUCGCAGGAGCUCAAGUCCUUCCUCUGAACUUCCUGGCGGCAUUGCUGCGAGCUCGAUCCUUCCCUUUCACCCUUUGACUCGUCAAUCUCAAUGGUGGUGAUGGUGGUCCUGUAAGCGAAAGACGCAUUGGCAAUGAUGAACAAGAGAACACUAACGAGAGCAAUUGUGGGUAUGAGCUUUGCCAUUGUUACUGAAUAUCAGAAAGCUGCUCUUAUGGAAUAUAGUAGAUGAUGGUAAUGGGCUCUUAUAGGAAAUUUAGGGGAGUGCAUGUCGAGAACGUGUAAGAUUUAUGGAAUGGCCAGUCAUUUCUGGCAUUUUUAUGGGGUGGCUACCCAUGGUUUUGAGGUCUGCUUUAAGCUUACACGUAUGGCAGCAGCAUGCAAUUUCUGUUUGCUUCAUAUGAUUCUUUUUAUGGAUUUUGCGCUUGAUGUUGUUGAAGUAUAUAUUUUUAGGUUUGUUUUAUUAUAUAUUUUGUAUAUCGUUGAACCAAAUGGUCUUUUGUUUAUAAACUGUUAUCCCGAAGCAUAUACAAUUAAUUUAAGGGUUAAAUUUCAAUUUUACCAGACUAAAUUAUUAUUUCUUUUAGAUACAACAGAGGGUACACCGGAAAACGAACACAAAAGUAUCACAAUGCAGCUGACUAAAAUCAACAACACCUUUACCAUGCCAUAAAGCGUCAUUAGAUAGUGAAGAAACUUUGUUCAGUUUUUUUUCAUUCAUAUUCGAAAAUCUUAGGUACAAGGAUUUAUAUAAAUUUUUAUUUAUAAGACUCCUAUUUUAAUAUAAAUUAGAAACUUAAAGAAUAUGAAUGUAUAAGGAAGGAGAUAGAUACAGGGGAUAUAUAGUGUGUUAGGAGACAAAUUAAAUCUUCUACACUCCCCCUCAAGUUGAUAUAUAGAGAUUUUGCAUGCCCAAUUUAUCUAAUGCUCAAUAAAAAAUUUCCCUUAAUACUGCUUUGGUAAGAAUAUCGGCGAGUUAAUCUUUAAAUCGAACAUGAAGGACUUCAAUUAUUUUGGCUUCUAACUGUUCCUUAAUAAAGUGUCUGUCUAUUUCCACAUAUUUCAUCUGAUCAUGCUGAUCUAGGUUAUGAGCUAUACCUCAUGCAGCUUUAUUAUCACAAUAUAGUCUUAUAGGACUAAAAUGUGGAACUCAGAGCUCAUGUAGUAAAUUCUUGAUCCAAAAUAACUCACAAACACCUUGAGUCAUUCCUCUAUACUCUGGUUCUGCAUUAGACCGAGUUACAACACUUUGCUUCUUACUUCUCCGUGUAAUAAGGUUUCCUCCAACAAAAGUUAAGUAAUCUGUUGUGGAUCGCCUAUUAUCAAUAGAACCAACCCAAUCCGCAUCAGUAUAGCCCUCAACAUUCAAAAUUAUCCCUUUGGUAAAUAUAAUGCCUUUUCUUGGAGAGGAUUUCAAGUAUUACAAAAUAUAAAGAACAACGUUUAUAUGAUAUUCACUUGGAGAGUGUAUGAAUUGACUUACUACAUUUAAAGAAUAUGCCAAAUCCGGACGAGUAUGAGCAAGAUAUAUUAACCGACCUACAAGUCUCUAAUAUCUUUCUUUAUUCGUAAGUACUUGCUCGGAAAAUAUAUCAAGCUACGUAUGUUUACUAGUAGAAGUAUUAAUUGGUUUGCAAGCUAGCAUAUCGACCUUUUUAAGUAAGUCUAAACUGUAUUUUCGUUGAGAUAAAAAUAUAACUUGCUUAGAUCAUAGUACUUCAAUCCCUAAGAAAUACUUGAGAUCACCAAAGUCUUCAUUUCAAGCUCUUCAGAAAGAUAGUUAUGUAAGGCUAUCUUUUCAUCAUCAUCAUUAUCUCCUAUUACAAUCAUAUUAUCAACAUAUAUGAUAAGCACAACUAUUCUUCCUUUCUUAUAUUUUAUAAAUAGAGUAUAUGAUCGGAACUAAUAUGUUUAUAGCCAAAGGUCUUAAUUGAGUUUGUCAACCUUCCAAACUAAGCUCUCGAAGAUUGUUUCAAUCCAUAUAGAGACUUUUUCAGCUUAUAGAAUUGCUUACUUCCUUCAACCUGAAACCUACAUCUUGGAGGUAGUUCCAUGUACAAUUCCUCUUAGAGAUCGUCAUGAAGAAAAACAUUCUUUAUAUCGAAUUGGUGGAGACCAAUUUAAAUUUACAGCCAAGGACAAAAGAAUUAUGACAAUAUUGAUCUUGGCCACAUGAGCAAAGGUUUUUGUAUAAUCUAUCCCAUAUGUCUGACUAUAUCCUUUCGUAAUAAGCCAAGCUUUGUGUCUCUCCACACUUCCAUCUGCCUUGUAUUUAACAGUAUAAAUCCACCUACCAAUAUAUUUUUCUCCAUUUGGUAGAUCAACAAUCUCCUAGGUUUCAUUCUUUCAAAGGGACUUCAUUUCUUCAUCCAUUGCUUCUUUCCACCUCGGGUCUUUUAUGGCUUCCUGCACAUCGUUAGGUACAUACACAAAAGAUAAUUGAUUUAUAAAUGAUUCACGUGUCUUUAAUAGCCUAUGGUAUGAAACAUAAUUAUUUAUUAGAUAUUUAGGUCUUGAGUCAUCAUGGGUUCAUAACUUGAUUUAGACUUUUCUCGAGUAGUUCGGUUCGAGAGUAUUCUAACAGAGAUUUUAUGAGUUACUUGAGAUUCAGCUCAGGAUAAGUCAUCAAGUAAAGAUGACAUUGAUUGUAGUGCUUCAAAUUCAGCUUUAUUACCUUGACCCCAAAUAUCAAGCUCGCAAUGCUCGGUUGACCCAAGAUCAAAAGAAUAAUGCUCAGAUUGUUUUGACAGGUCGAGAGUUUCAGUUGAAAGAAGGUCAGGAAUCUCUGUUGGAAAAUCGGAUUGUUUUGAAGGUCGGGUUGUAUUUGAAGGUCGAGUUGUGUUUGAAGGUUGGGUUGUGUUUGAAGGUCGGGAAAAUAUUGAAGGUCAGGCUGCAAGUCAAUAUUUCUCUCAUCCUGACUUGCAGUAAGGAAAUACAUCUGAUGCUCAUGAAAUUGGAUAUCCAUACUGACAUACACUCGUUGAGUUAGAGGGUGAUAACACUUAUAUCCUUUCUGAUGAAUACCAUAUCCAAUAAAGAUACAACAAAUAGUACGAGGUUGGAGCUUGUGGCGUGUGUGGUGAGGAAGGUGAACAAAGAUUGUGCAACCAAGGACUUUAUAAGUAAGUUCGGUAAUGAUGGUGAGGUAAGGCUUUUAUUUAUUUUAUCAAAUGGGGUAUGAAAGUCUAGGAUACGAGAUGAAAUUCGAUUUAUAAGGUAAGAUGAUGAGGAUAAAGUUUCUCCAAUAUUGGAAAGACAUAUUGGCUUCAAAUAGAAUAGCUCGUACUGUUUUCAAGAGAUGUCAGUUUUUUUUCCUGUAAUCCCAUUUUGUUGAAGAAAAUAAAGGCAUGUGGUUUGAUGGAUUACACCAUAUUGUUGAAGAAAUUGUGUGAAUUCAUGAUUAAUGAAUUCACCUCCAUUAUUUGUCUGUAGUAUUUGCACUGGAGUUUUAUAUUGAGUUUCCACCAUCAAAUAGAACUUCUUGAAUAAUGAGCAAACCUCCUGCUCACUUUUCAUUAAGCAUAUCCAUGUCAUACGACUAUAAUCAUCAAUAAAAGAAAUAAACUACCGAGCUCUAUUCAAGUUCGGUACCUUUGUAGGUCUCCAAAUAUCAGAGUGUAGAAUCAUAAAUGGUACUGAACUUUUAUUUAAACUAGUUCGAAAAGAGACACGAUGGCUUUUUACGAGUUCACAAGUUUCACAUUUGAAGUUUAAAAGUAUAUAUUUUUAAAAAUAACUUAGGAAACGAAUACUUUAAAUAUCCAAAUAAUGCAUGACCAAGGUGCUUAUGCCAUAACCAUAUCAUAUUUUCUAUACUUGUCGAUAUGGAGCUACUAUUUUCCAAACUUGAUUCCGACAAGGCACUUAAGCUGGAUGGUGCAAUGUCAAGAUAAUAGAGCUUUUCUUUUCUAAUGUCAUAAACAAUCGUCCUCUUUAUCUUGAUGUCCUUAAAAAUAUAAUAAUCAGCCUAAAAAAUUACUAUACAAUUUAAAAAGGUGUUUAGUUGAGAUAUAGAUAUUAAAUUGAAGUUUAGAGAUGGAACAAUUAAAACAUAUUCUAAAUUUUGGUUGUCAAGUGUGAAUGACCAUUUACCAGUAACACUAGCUUUUGUAUCAUUAACUGUGGAUAUAACGGAUUACUCAGUUGCUUUUAGCUCAGUAGGUGUGUUAAAAGGCAUAUUAUCAGUCGAUCCAGAAUCAAUAACUAAUAUAUACGACCUAACAGUGGCAGAAUUACAAAAAGAUUUAUCUAAUAGUUCUAAAGAUAUGUGUAAGAUAACAACAUCUAGCGAGGAAGGUUGUUCGGCUACAGCUAUUGAUACUGAUGCAGUUUUUACAGUUUUUGACUUUCUUUUCGAAGCUUUAGAAGGAUCCUACCAUUUAGGAUAUCCAAUCAGAUCAUAACAUCUGCUUUGAGUAUGGCCUGUUGCACCAUAAUGUAUACAUUGCUUUGUUGAAUUGGUUUGUUUAUUACCAAUAUCAAAGCUACGAAUAGAAUUCUGCAGAAGUGACGAGUUAGUUCUUUUCGCGAGUAAUGUAGCUGACUCUGAGAAAGCAUGUUCUCUAGUUAAGAUUUUUUUCAAUUUGCUUCUCGGCAAACAUAUGCAUAUGUUUGUUCAAGGUCUAAGCUCGGCUCCAUUCGGAGGAUUUCUCCUCUCACUUGUUCAAACUCGGCGUCAAGUCUAUUUAAAAAGAUGUGGAUUCUAAACUUCUCUACAUCUGCUUUAUACAUAGUAAUGCCCUCAAGAUCUUUUAUUCUUAUCUUAUCCCAAUGAUCAAGUUCCUAGAAUAUCUCAACUAGCUCGCUAUAGUAGGUCGGAAGCCGACUUAGGAAUGCUCGUUGAUUAAGAGCAAAAAUCUAAGUUUCGUCUGAUCCAUCAUAGAAUGCUUUUGGAAAAAGCACUCUAGAUUUCACGGGCUAUACUGAUACGAGGAUACUUUUUCAUAGUUUCUGGUAUCAUUGAUGUGAGUAACCAGCUUUUAACUUUUUGGUUUUCAGCAUACCACUUGAAGUAAGAUGGAUCAGUUAAUAUGGAGUUAAUAUGGGUAGAGGAGAAUCUCCUAUAAUAUAAUCCAAUUUUUUACGCCCAACAAUAUACAUCUCCAUGAUUUGAGACCAUGUAUCAUAAUUGGUUUCAGUAAGAGUUAUUCUAGCUUUAAAGCCAAAAUUUUUAGAAUUGACAUGGAUAAUUUGAGUGAUGGUAUGGUGGUUGAUUUAGUAGGGGUUUCAGAUGGAGAGGAAGAUAUUUUUUACAAUAAAAAUUUUAUGCAACUAGGCUCUAAUACCAUGAAGAAACUCAAUUCAGUUGUUUUCAUUCAUAUUUGAAAAUUUUAGGUACAAGGACUUAUAUAGACUCUUAUUUACAAGAAUCUUAUUUUAGUACAAAUUAAGAACCUAAAGAAUAGAAACGCAUAAGGAAUGAGAUAGAUACUGCUUUAGGAGACAAAUAAAAUCUUCUACAGAUAACCAAUCAGCAAUUCUAUUACCUUCCCUUAGGGUAUUUUGAACUUGAACAUAGUAAAUUAUAACCCUUAUAUUCUAAUUGAAAGGUUAAUCUCAUUCAAUUUUAAAAAAAUUUACGCCUUUCAGGUGCUUCAUAAAGUGAAAGCAUCUUUCAGAUAUUUCAUAAAGUCAAAACAAUACAUUCGACAGUAAAAAGUAUAUGAAAUAGGAUAGCAAGAUCCUCGUUUAACUUGUCCUAAGCUCCUUGAAUAUUUGAAACAGUAAGGGAAACGGGAAUAAAACCUAACUGGGUUAAACGUAGACAUGUUCUGAAAGGAGCAUUGGAAAAAAAAUGUCGCACAGUUGCAAAUGCUCCAUAACGAACACAUGGUGCAAUAAUUCCAAGAUUACUAAAUAAAGCCGAUCCAACUGAUAGAGCAUUAGAUAAUAUUUUUGCAAGAAAAGCUUCAAUUUAUUUGGAAUAUUUUAAUUUUCAGAGAUGUUUCCACUGAGUGUGUGGAGGUAUAGCCAUGGUGAAAUAAUGGGGCUAAAUGGAAGGAAAGAGAGACUUCUGCCAUGCAUAAUACCUUAAACCCACUAUAUACUUUUCUGUAUUGUGAAAAGGAAAACUGUAAUUGUCACCGUUUGAGACCAUCUCGGGCAAUAUUAAUAAAAAGUGGGUUCUAAAAAAUAAAAAGAAAUAGAUAUAUCAAAUAUGUAAAAAGUAGAGGUAUUUGGUAUUGUAUUUCUCUUUUAUAUCCAUACAAAGGUGUGAAACGAUAGUUUAGCAAAUAUGACAAAAGUCACUUCUCUUUCAUCAUCUUUUAUUGAUUUAUUUCCUUCUCCAUUACUUAUUUUUCUUAAUAUGUAAUCUAAAAUUUCCAUUACCUCUCUUUCAUAACAAGUAAAAAUAAUCUAAUAUUCCAUCAUCCAUAAUAACUAUCAAUCUUCUUUUCUUUUAUUUUUUUCUCUUAUUUCUAUCAAAUUUUUAUUUACUUUUUACUCCUAUUUUUCCUCAUUCUUCAAUCUUAAUGUUAUAAUUUAACCCAAAAGCUGUUAUCUUAUAUUCCAGCUCUACUAUUUUGUAGCUCGUCUCAACGAGUUAUGGUGAGUUGAGCAAAAUAGGUGGGCCACUGACUCAUCAACUCAAUUUGAAUCGGUUUAUUUUGACUAAGUUUCAUCUCUUGGUUUUCACAUAGUUUGUUGUUGUUGGAUGGAUCUAUUGUUCGGGCAGUAGUAUAGUAGUAUCAAACGAGAAGUUUUUUAGAAACUCUUCAAAAAUAUCUUAAAUCAAUAAAAAAAUCAUUUUUUUUCUAUAAAUUUUUCUUUCCAAAAUAAACUUUUUUCUAAAGUUAUAUUGUAAUUAUUUUUCAGUUUUUUCAGUUAUUUUUUUAAGUUUUUAGCUGUUAAAAUAAAAACUCAACCAAAACUGUAAAUUAAAAUAAAAAUUAAAUAACUAUAUUUUUAAUAUUUUAGUACAAUAAAAAAAUUAUAAAUUAAUAUUUUUUAGAUUUUUUUAAUCUAAUUUAGAUGUAUGUUAUGUUUAUAUAUUAACUAAUAAGUUAUAGAUAUCUAUUUAUUAGUCCUAUACCAAUAAAUUAUAGGUAUAUGUUUAUAAUUUUAAAUAAUAGAAUAUUAUAUAAAUUAUUGAACUAUAGUUAAUAUUUAUUUACUAAUUUUAAGUAAUAAAAUAUAUAAUAAUAAUUUAAUAUUUAUUAUUUUUCUAUUUGUUGUAUUGUAUUUAUAAUAUUAUAUUAUUUUAUGAUGUAUAGACAUUAUAUUUAUUGUGAUGUGUAAAUCUAAUAAACCUGUUAUUUAUUGUGAUGAUAUAUAGAUGUUACAUUUAUUAUAAUGUGUAGAUAUAUUUUUAUUGCGAUAUAUAGAUAUGACGUGGAUAAUAAUUUUCCAUCAAACUAAUUUUUCUCCAGAUUCUUCAUGGUUUAAUUAAUAAAGUUCUCAUUUAUUAAAACAAAAUAUUGAUCUCAAAGUUCGAUAUGGGUCUUUGUCUCUGAGAAGCUUUUGAAAUAUAAUUAAUGUAAAAUAUUAAACAAUUCCUGCGAAACUCUUGAAAUAUAAUCAAUGUAAAAUAUGGUACUAUGUUAUGUUUCCACCCUUUCCUUUUCGUCAAAUAAACUUGAGCUUUAAUCAAUGUAAAAUAUAGUAUUAUCCUAUGUUUCCUCCCUCUCCUUUUUGUCAAAUAAACUUGAGCUUGAUUCAAGCUUUCCAUAUGAUUAUAGACCAACUAAUUAAUAAACAAAACCUAAAUUCAUGAAGUAUUGUUCAUUCUCUCGGUCUAUAGUUUCAUAAUUCAUCCUUUAUAAGAAUAUAUAUAUAAAGAAAAAGAGUAUCUAAUGGAGAUCAUCAAUACAAAUUCAUUAAUCUUAAUGAAUUGAAUAUGCAUCUUGAAUAUGUCAAAAUUUUAUUUCCAAACUUCUUGAGAAGCCAGAUUGGUUACAGAAUAGCUAUGCAUCUUGAGUUAUUUUACAUAAUUAAACAUAUUUAAUCUAGAGUUUAGUCCAAAAACUCGUAUGGAUGCAUGGAAUGGACUCAUUGAGUAGCUUCCACACGAAUUUGACUAAUUCGAUGGACUCAUUGAACAAUUAGAUGGGCGUAACGCCUUGAAUAGCUACUAUACUCGUUGAUUAAUUAGAUGAAAUCUUUGAGUACUUAGAUUUUAGUUUUUUAGGACCUUUCAAUAAUUGGACAGGUGUAAUAUAAUGGCGGCUAUAGUGAUACUGAAAAUGCCAGAGUUAAUCUUUGAAUACACUGGGGGCUUUCGCAUUUGCUCUUUUAAGUUAUUUAUUUUCCUUAACAAAGUUCUAAUACAGUUAAAGUACCAGUCUCUGAGUCCUGAGUCCUAAAGUUUGAGCUCCAGUCCUACGUUAAUGGAGUUGGGUAGGCUCAUGACAUAUUAAUUAACAGAGGACCCACAUAAACUUAUUAUAGAUUUUGCAACAGUCAUGAUACAUGGCUACUACGUAAUCAUCAUUUUCUAAUCUCACAGCAACAGCUGCGAAGGGCUAGUGAUCACUGAUCAUGAUCUUUAUUAACUACUUCAUAUAUAUAUAAUCCUGCGACUUUAGAACCGGCAUUCGGUUGGUGAGACGCCGCACAUUGAUGGCAAAUUCGCAGCUGUCCUGAAAGCCUCAAAAACAUCCUGACCUUGAAGUUGCCCCUGGCUCUGUUGCUGCUCAAUAGCCUGCCUCAGACCCUCGCAUCUGCACUGUGACUGCAUCUGCUUGAGAUGGUCACAGCACCCACGAAGAGACCGUUCUUGAUUGUCACUUCUUCUUGGUCCCUGUCCGGAAACUUGUUGUUUGAUAUAUUCCUGGCAUUGCCUGAGAUUUUGUUGCUCUUGAAUCUGCCCACGACACCCCUGCUGGCUUGGGUUUGUUCGAGUUUGGCGCAUGCAACGCACACCGCAAGAAGAUACAAUUUCACCUGCUCUCUGCGCCACUCUUUCAGACUCUUCUCCAUGUAGCUGUCCCUGCUGAAUCUGAUCCUCUGCGAUAUAUUUGAUUGCUUCACAUUGGCAUUCAUCUCUUACUUGCUUUACCUGAUUGCAGCAUUGCUGGAGUUGCUGGCUCUCCUGCUGCUGGUUUUCAUCUCCAGGCAUCCUUAACACUUCUUCUCCUGGUGAUCUUCUUGAACUUGAUUGCCUCAGGUAUCGCUCGCAGGAGCUCAAGUCCUUCCUCUGAACUUCCUGGCGGCAUUGCUGCGAGCUCGAUCCUUCCCUUUCACCCUUUGACUCGUCAAUCUCAAUGGUGGUGAUGGUGGUCCUGUAAGCGAAAGACGCAUUGGCAAUGAUGAACAAGAGAACACUAACGAGAGCAAUUGUGGGUAUGAGCUUUGCCAUUGUUACUGAAUAUCAGAAAGCUGCUCUUAUGGAAUAUAGUAGAUGAUGGUAAUGGGCUCUUAUAGGAAAUUUAGGGGAGUGCAUGUCGAGAACGUGUAAGAUUUAUGGAAUGGCCAGUCAUUU
rnacentral:lncRNA from 1 species